rnacentral:lncRNA from 1 species
CGCAUUAUGAAUAUAGCGUCUGGGUUUUUGUGUCUUUGGAUUUCGUUCAUAGAUGGCGUUUUAAAAUUUGGUAAUGACCUUGACCACAUCUUACCGGAAGGUAAACACUUCAAGAAUAUGGAUGAUAACAUGCGGCAGUUGUAGACAAGAGUUGAGAGUUUCAGUGUAAAAUGAAACUUUUAAACAGCAUGGAAACUGGAAGAAACUAGACAAUUAACUUAUUAAGGUUCAUAUGUACGGAUGUCUCUUUUAAUAGGGUAGGUAAAAGGUAGUUUUUUUUUACUCAGAAAAGGGGGCGGGGAGGACUCGCAUAGAGGUAUACAGUAGGUUGUAAUCAUGGAUUAGUUUGCAAAAUCCUUGUAACAACUAGUAUCAUAAAAUAAAAUGUUUAGAUAUUAUGUAGUUUUAAAUAUUUUACCUUAUGCAUCGAUCACUGAAAUCUGAGACUACUAUAACUGUAUAAGUGUGUGUCUCAUUGGGGUCUAAGCGUGACACAGGAUUGCUGAUUUUUUGUAAGUGUGACACGUGAAAGUCAAAUUAUUGUGACGUGAAAACCAGAAAUGAAGUACAUAGUGUAAGCGGGAUGGGAAUGUGACAAAUCAGUAAGUGGGACCGUGAUCAGAACCCCCAAUGAGACCCCCUAUAACAGUAGUCUCGCUGAAAUGCCAUUGCCAUGACUUGCCAUUUGGUAAAUAGAAUAGAAAGGAGAUACUUUAAUUCACAAAUUAUGGCCCAGGAGGGCAUAUAGCAUACAAACAAUAUUAUUAUAAACAUUAACAUAUAUGCAGUACACAAACAAUAAAUAUGUAACAUGUGUAAUAAAAAUAUAUGAAUACUACAGGAAACAUGGGUAAUACACCCAACAAGAUAGCAAUAUAUAAUAAUUUAAUUAAUACUGUGUUGACAUUGACCCUAGAGCACCAGGUUAGUGUAUUUUCACUAUAAAAAUUCAAACAAGAGGCAUGAGAAGUUUAUGUGGAGAAAUCUCAAUAUAAAAAAAAAGGAUAUUUAAUAUGACUUAUCUGCAGUAAGCACCAAGAAUUGAUACUUAAAAGGAAGUCCCUUCUUGUACUUAAUGCAGAAGAGUCAAACUUCUUAAAUAUUUAAAAUAUAUAUUUUAAACACAUAUUUUUAAGAUUAUAGAUACUGUGUCCAGUCAGCAAAUAUCUUCAAGGGACGGUGCAAGAGAAUAUGAAAUUCUUCUUAGAAUAAGACAAGUUAUCCUCAUGCUAUAUAUGAGGAGGGGCAAAAGGGGGUCUGUUAACAUGUUAACAACACCUUGAUAUUUUGGCAAAAACAGUUAACAAAAAAUGCAAAAAUACUGAUAACAGUUACGUUACAUAAAAAGAUUUGCCCCCCCCAUAUAUGGAUUAUGCCAAUUAGAAUGCAUAGUGGUCCUAAAAUCCAUUUGAAAAAAACAUGCCCAAGGAAGACUUUAUACAUGUAUGAUGUAUAUACAAAAACAUUUGACGAAAAAUUAUAAACAACAGAGUGAAGAGGGUGGUAUUCAUGGUAACUUUAUAAAACUAACCAUUAAACAAAUACAGGUUUACCGUUGUAACAAUUGUUGAUUGCCAUAAAAGGCUGAUUAAUUAGUAUUGAGAAUGAAAUAAAAAAAAUAUGUCCAACAGAAUACAAUAUAUUUAUAUAACUAUCUAUAAUAUAUGUAUAAAGUAUCUGCAUUGAGUUGCAUCUGAAAUAGUAAAAUACUGACAUAUUAAAUUUUUUCCAGGUCAGUUAUCUGUAUUGAAUGGCUGGAGAAUACAAACCUAGUACAAAUGUAUAUAGAGGAAUGAAGAGGCCUCACAUAUAACUGACUGUCAUUGGGUAAUUUUAUUAUUAACAAAAAAAUUGAGAAUGGAAAUGGGGAAUGUGUCAAAGAGACAACAACCUGACCAAAGAGUAGAAAACAGCCAAAGACCACCAACACACUGAGAAAAUCCCACACACAGAGGCAUGCUUGAGCUACCACCUAAACAAAAAUGUGUACUACUCCACGGAAACAUGUGGUCAAGGUGAUAAUGAAUGUUAUACUAACUCCAAAAUUAAAAUGAACUAAAAUUAAAAAUCUUAAAAAAUAACAAAGGCUAGAAUGCGGUGGGGUCAAACAUGUUUUGCAAGAUUCAACCUAUCCUAAUACCUCUAUAGCUAGCCAUUGUAGAAAAACAAAAACAAUAUGCACAGUAAAUCUCAGUUUUAAAGAAGUCAUAGUCCUACAUUGUAUGUCAGAAUAGGCAAAAUGAUAGGAAAUAAAACAAAAUAAGCAAAAUGACAACUAUACAUAAAUUUACAAAGGACUACUAGCAGUUACUGACAUGUUCCUCAGACAUAUGUGAACUUAACUAAAUGUCAUACACUAUAUGUUUUAUCACUUUUUGACUUUUUUUUAGCACAUGAAAUAUAUAUUGUACCAUGUUUUUUUAAGAUUUUUUUUGUUGGUACCUUAUAAAUACUGGUAGGACAUGAAUUACCAAUAAGAAAAAUAAUUUCUUUGGUUUUAUUCCAAUACAGAUACAUGAAGUCAGACUAAAUGUUUUUGAACCUUGCAUAUCUACUUGAACUUGUUUCAUAGUUUAGCAAAAUUACUUUAUUCAGUAAAAUUUCUAAACAAAUGUAUAGUUUUGUAGACAUUGGCCUCAUAAAAAUUAGAUAUAGGAAGAUGUGGUGUGAGUGCCAAUGAGACAACUCUCCAUCCAAAUAACAAUUUAUAAAAGUAAACCAUUAUAGGUCAAUGUACGGCCUUCAACACAGAGCCUUGACUCACACCGAACAAAAAGCUAUAAAACCCCAAAAUUACUAGUGUAAAACCAUUCAAACAGGAAAACCAACGGUCAAAUUGCAUUUUAUUAAACUUGGUCAAAUUAUAUUUCAGCAAAAGGCUUUGCCAUCCAAUACAUUUCAUCUUGGAUGAAAAAGAACACCAGUCUGAUGAUGGUGACAGGUCAAAUUUACCUAACAGGUAACAUAUACAUGACAUAUUGUUUUAGGGAGCUACCAUUUAUUUUAAGGGGGGGGUAUGGAAUUUGAAAAAUAGGCAGACAGGAUUUUGAGUAAAAAAAAAGCAGGAUUGACACUUGCAAAAAAAAAGUCAGGACGACAAUUUAGGUAAAAAAAAUCAGGAUAAACUAAAAAAAAAAGUCAGGACCGAUUAGAGUGAAAAAUAAAAAGGCAGGACAGAGAUUACAGCUAAAAAAAAAUGCAGGACAAAAUUUUUCAUCCUAGCCCCCCCCAUAAAAAUCAAAUGGUAGCUCCCUAAGGCUAAACAUACAUGCAUGCAUAUUGGGACCAGGGAAGACACUUAGAGAUCCAAAGUUACAAUGUGUGGUUGGGUUAAUUGCAAUGAAAAUGUUAGUGAAAUUCUCAAUUGGCUUCUAUCAGUUGUAACCCUAUUAUGAAUGUGUUUUCCUGUGUACAAUGUGUGAUUAAAAGUAAGAGCCUAAGGCUUUAUAAUGCAUACUCCUUUUUAUUGCUUAAGUUUAAAUUUAACAAUAUUAACUAUAGUUGAAAAAUCUGUAUUUUUCAUCUGUUUUAUUUAUCCUUCCAUGGAUGGGCACUUGUUGUUUAACCUACAUGUACAUUAUUGUUAUGUUAGUUUAGUAAAGUAUGAAUUAAUAAUGGAUUAAACCCAGAUUUGUGUUAAAUAUAGCCUCCUUUUGUUGUGCUUGAUAUCCUAUUAUUUUUUUUUAUAUAUUAAGAUAAGUAAGUUAACACUUAUAGACAUACUCCAACAAAUAUAAUAUUUUUUAAAACCAGUAUAUAUUUUAAAUGGAGUGUUUGAAAGAGAGAGUCGAAAAAACAAUGCACAAAACCAGACAAAUUGAAACAAAUGCAUGACACAAGUGUGUUUAAAAACAAAAGGAAUGUUUCUCUGUUUACGAGUUAUUGUAUGGACUACAAACACAAUACAAACCCUCUUAAAACCCAGGUUAUAUCAGGUGUUAAGAGUCAGCAUACACUGCUUGUAUAUGAUUUAUAGUUCAUAACUGUCUGUCAUUCUGUACCUCUGUCAAACCUUGUAAAUUAGCCAUACUUGGUAUAGAAUAAAGAUUAUUUGUACACAAUGAUUUUCAAUGUAUAGUUUCACACUAUAUAUAUAUGAAAAUAACUUUGUAUAAUUUUCAUAUUUCUGUUUCCUGAAAACUAGUAACGAUUACCAGUAUAGUUGUAUAGUUCUAAGCAUUUUGUCAAACAUCUGAACUUGUAAUAAUAUUCCCUGAACAUUUUUAUACAGGAUUGUGGUUAAAACUCUUAAAAUAUAAAUAUUUCUGUAACAAUUUUAAACGUAAUAACAAUUAACCACUUCAUGAUAUCCAUUACCAAAAGUGUUGUAUAGUCUGAUUAAAACCACAGAAUUUACUUUGCUUUUCAGAUACUAGUGAAGAAAUAAAGAAACAAGAGUAGACACCAUUUGACCAACUGUGCUUACAGUACUUGUGCAACAGUUGUGAUUGAUGUCCAUAUUACAUUGUAGUAUGAUAAUACUUUACAGCAUCGACAGAAUUAUCAUCUUGGUCGUCAAUGCCUCUCAUUUCAUAAUAAAUUGCAUUUGUUAUUUAGGUUGUAUGAUUUUCUAAAACGACUUUUUUGUUAUUAAUGGAGUAGAAUGUUGAAAAAACAAAUGACAAAGAAAAUUGCUGAAUAAAGGCCACAAGUUCUUUUUUAUUGUUUUAAAUAAAAAUUAGUAUGGUGUUUGACUGAAUUAAAAAAGAUAUUUCUUAUUUAUUUCCAGUACAUUAAAAAGCACUUUAUCACACAAUCAGUGGCAGAUCCAGAAAUUUUCAUAAGUUAGGGCCCACUGACUGCCUAAGAGGGGGUCCAGCUCACUCCAGUCAUGCUUCAGUGAUUCCCUAUAUAAUCCACCAAUUUUGUUUCCAUAAAAGGAGGGGGCUGGGCCCCCCGCCCCCCUAAACCCACCUCUGACAAUACCAUGAAAAUAAAUUUGCUGUAGCUAUUUGUUGUAUUUUGUUUUCAUUGUGUAUUUCUGACAUAAAACCCUCAUUUUUACUAUAUAUAUC